rnacentral:lncRNA from 1 species
GUUGCCCUUGCAGUGGCACACUCUCAGCUCACUGAAACCUCUCCCUUCCAGGUUCAAGCAAUUCUCAUUUCUCAGCCUCCCAAGUAGCUGGGAAUACAGGCACGCACUACCAAACCUGGCUAAAUGUUUGUACUUUUAGUAAAGAUAGUGUUUCACCAUGUUGACCAGGCUGGUCCUGAACUCCUGACCUCAAGUGAUGUGCCUGCCUCGGCCUCCCAAAAAAAAAAAUGGCAGAAAACCUCUGCAACUUUGAAUUAGGCAAAGAUUUCAAAAGCAUGAUCCAUAACAGAGCGAAUUGAUAAACUGGAUAUCAUUAUAAUUAAAAACUUUUUCUCUUUGGAAAACCAUAUUAAGAGAAUGAAGAAACAAACCACAAACUGGAAGAAAAUAUUUGCAAAUCACCUAUCUGACAAAAGACUUGUAAGAAUAUAUAAUUUGCAAUGCUCAACAAUAAGAAAACAAAAAAUCCAGUAAAUGAUGAGCAAAAGGUUUUAACAGAUAUUUAACCAGUGACAAAUAAGCACAGGAAUACAUGCUCAAUAUCUGUAGUCAUUAAGGAAACUCAUACUAAAAAUCACAAUGAAAUACCACAACUGACCAUAUCACGUGUUAGUGAGGAUAUGGAGGAACUGAAAGUCUCUUCCCCUGCUGGUGGGAAUGUAAAAUGGUAGAACUCUUUGGAAAUAGUUUGACAGUUCCUUUAAAACUCGAACACACAUCUCCAUUGUGACUCACCAUAUCAUUUUGGUGUAUUUAGCCAAGACAAAUGAAAGAAUAUAUUCAUAAAAAGAUUUGCAUAUUAAUAUUUAUCAAAGCUUUGUUAUAGGCAAAACCUGUAAACAACCCAAAUGUCCACCAUUAGGUGACUGAAUGGACAAAUUGUGGUAUACACGUACAACAAAAAGGAGUACACAAUAAGAAGAAUGGACUGCAGAUACACAUAAAAACAAGCUGAAAACAAGGUGAAAGAAAGUUUGUUUGUUUUUUUUUUUUGAGUCAGGGUCUCAGUCUGUUGACCAGGCUGGAGUGCAGUGACCCCAUCACAGCUCACUGUACCCUGGACCUCCUAGACUCAAGGAAUCCUCCUGCCUCAGCUUUCAUUGUAGCUGGGACCAUAGUCAUGGGCCACCAUGCCUGGUAACUAACCUUUUGAUCUUUUGUAGAGACAGGGUCUCACUUUUUUUCCUCGGUUGGUCUUGAGCACCUCGAGUCAAGCAAUUCUCUCACCUGGGCCUCCCAAAGCCAUGGGAUUACAGGUGUGAACCACUGUGA